rnacentral:tRNA from 1 species
GCGGAUGUAGUUUAGUGGUAAAACUUUAGCCUUCCAAGCUAAUAAUGCGGGUUCGAUUCCCGCCAUCCGCU